UGGCGAACGGGUGAGUAAUAUAUCGGAACGUACCCUGGAGUGGGGGAUAACGUAGCGAAAGUUACGCUAAUACCGCAUACGAUCUAAGGAUGAAAGUGGGGGAUUCGCAAGAACCUCAUGCUCCUGGAGCGGCCGAUAUCUGAUUAGCUAGUUGGUGGGGUAAAGGCUCACCAAGGCUUCGAUCAGUAGCUGGUCUGAGAGGACGACCAGCCACACUGGAACUGAGACACGGUCCAGACUCCUACGGGAGGCAGCAGUGGGGAAUUUUGGACAAUGGGCGCAAGCCUGAUCCAGCAAUGCCGCGUGAGUGAAGAAGGCCUUCGGGUUGUAAAGCUCUUUUGUCAGGGAAGAAACGGUGAGGGCUAAUAUCCCUUGCUAAUGACGGUACCUGAAGAAUAAGCACCGGCUAACUACGUGCCAGCAGCCGCGGUAAUACGUAGGGUGCAAGCGUUAAUCGGAAUUACUGGGCGUAAAGCGUGCGCAGGCGGUUUUGUAAGUUUGUCGUGAAAGCCCCGGGCUCAACCUGGGAAUUGCGAUGAAGACUGCAAGGCUUGAAUCUGGCAGAGGGGGGUAGAAUUCCACGUGUAGCAGUGAAAUGCGUAGAGAUGUGGAGGAACACCGAUGGCGAAGGCAGCCCCCUGGGUCAAGAUUGACGCUCAUGCACGAAAGCGUGGGGAGCAAACAGGAUUAGAUACCCUGGUAGUCCACGCCCUAAACGAUGUCUACUAGUUGUCGGGUUUUAAUUAACUUGGUAACGCAGCUAACGCGUGAAGUAGACCGCCUGGGGAGUACGGUCGCAAGAUUAAAACUCAAAGGAAUUGAC
rnacentral:rRNA from 1 species